AUACGGAGGGUGCAAGCGUUAAUCGGAAUUACUGGGCGUAAAGCGCACGUAGGUGGUUUGGUAAGUUGGAUGUGAAAUCCCACGGCUUAACUGUGGAGCUGCAUCUGAAACUGUUUUUCUUGAGUACUGGAGAGGAAAGUGGAAUUCCCAGUGUAGCGGUGAAAUGCGUAGAUAUCUGGAGGAACAUCAGUGGCGAAGGCGGCCACCUGGACCGAGACUGACACUGAGGUGCGAAAGCGUGGGUAGC
rnacentral:rRNA from 1 species